rnacentral:tRNA from 3 species
GCUGCGGUGGUCUAGAGGUUAUGACGGUGGGUUGUGGUCCCGCCAACCCGGGUUCAAUUCCCGGCCGCGGCC